rnacentral:tRNA from 1 species
ACCUGGCUGGCUCAGUCAGUAGAGCAUGUGACUCUUGAUCUCAGGAUCGUGAGUUUGAGGCCCAUGCUGGGUG